GACGAACGCUGGCGGCGUGCUUAACACAUGCAAGUCGAACGGGAACGCCCGGCUUUUGUGGGGUCCUCGAGGGGCCAACGGGUAAGUAACACGUGGGUAACCUGCCCUUGACUUUGGGAUAACUUCAGGAAACUGGGGCUCAUACCGGAUAGGAGCUCCUGCUGCUUGGUGGGGGUGGGUAAGUUUCGGCUGUUGGGGAUGGACUGGCGGCUCAUUAGGUUGUUGGUGGGGUAGUGGCUUACCAUGACCAGGACCGGUAGCAGACCUGAGAGGGGAACAUGCCACAUUGGGACUGGAAUACGGCCCAGACCCGAACGGGAGGCAGCAGUGGGGAAUAUAGUAUUAGGGGCUGAAGCCGGAUGUAGCAACGCCGUGUGGGGGAUGUCGGCAUUGGGGUUGGAAUGCGAUUUCGUCUUACACGAAGUGUGAGUGACGGUAAUGGGUAAAGAAGCACCGGCUAACUACGUG
rnacentral:rRNA from 1 species